rnacentral:lncRNA from 1 species
GGGAGUUAAUAUAGUACACUCAUCAGGCCCAUAUAAGCCAAUCAUACACAUUGCCCACUUCCGAUGUGGGACUAAUGGGAUGUUACAAUAUCCCCAACUCAAUUAGCUUGACGUCCUCGUCAAGGCCCAACAUAACCCCUCACCCUGCCCAAAUGCUAGGUCGGCUCUGAUACCAAAUGUCACGACCCGAGUCUGAUGAGUCAACUGGCCAAUAACUCAAUUUUGGUCCUUCAACCACGGACCAAAAUACUUAAGCGGGAG